UACGAAGGGGGCUAGCGUUGCUCGGAAUGACUGGGCGUAAAGGGCGCGUAGGCGGACGGCUUUGUCGGGCGUGAAAUUCCAGGGCUUAACCUUGGGGCUGCGUUCGAGACGGGUUGUCUAGAGUUUGGAGGAGGGUCGUGGAAUUCCCAGUGUAGAGGUGAAAUUCGUAGAUAUUGGGAAGAACACCGGUGGCGAAGGCGGCGACCUGGUCCUUGACUGACGCUGAGGCGCGAAAGCGUGGGGAGCAAACAGG
rnacentral:rRNA from 1 species